rnacentral:tRNA from 2 species
GAAGGGUUGGCCGAGUCUGGUCGAUGGCGCCGCGUUGCUAGCGCGGAGCGGGUCACACCGCCGGGGGUUCGAAUCCCUCACCCUUCGCCA